AUGGUGUACCGAUCAACUAACCCGUUGCGUAGGUUGACGCAACGAAGGUGAUCAAGAUAUUGUUCGGAUACCUUGACAAGAGGUGGAGGAGGACAGCAACCACAUGGCGCACAGGGACCGGUGCAUUUCAGCAACUUGCGUUGUUGCUCCAGUUGCUGACGUUCUCGCUGCACGUUAGCAAGUUCUAUCUGCAUGUUGCGUACUUCGCAUUCUAUAUUGCCCAGCUGUUGUUCCUAGAAUUGUUGUCAACGCAUAAGUAUGUAAAAUUGGAGCAAAACUCAGUUAUGAGUAAUUAUGUAACCAAGUUGCCCAGCUACCAGUUACAUAAUUACUCAUAAUUGCUUAGAGCAACAAGCGUGUCCCUGCGACUCGUUCAUUAAGACUCAAUUAUGUUUUGUAGAUGUACUAUCUGUUUGGUGUUGGUGCCAUAGGAUGCAAGUUGGUUCUCCAGUUCCGCGGGACACGUCCCUCUCGGAGGUGGACACGGCUGGCAUGGCGGCUUAACAGCGGCUGGACUGCGACAACACAUUCCGUCGACUUGCGAAGAAGCACUGCUCUCGGUACAAGCUUUUGUUCUUGACGCGCCACCCGCGAGUCUAGGAUUGAGGACUCGUUGUCCAAUUGAAUGGAUAUGUACCGCAUACGGAAUUGCCUCGCGGUGACAAACUGUCAGCGAAUGGUGGCUGAAGGCAACACUUGCACGGACAGUAAUCGUCGUCCUGCUGCACCGUAGUGGUGUACGAAUACGAACGAAAAGGAGACGGGCUUGAUGUUGGAGAGCACAGCGCAACGUUCGUCUGCUUUCUUCAGUUCUUCCUGUACAGCGGAGUCUGUCAAAGGAGAUGAGCUCAACACGGAUUCCACUCUACCACCAGGCUUGAUCGGGACACCUGGAUAAAAAAUACGUUAAUCGAAUUAAUUUUAAGGGUGCACCUUCACCAACACCAGGCGGAAGCGGAUAUUCUGGAGGCUGGCCUUCUUCAAACUUCUCUGUAGCCCCAUCAUCGACUUCAUCUACCGCUGCAUUGUCCUCUUCUUCUGGUACAGUUUCCUCUGGCGUGUCACCCUCGACAUCUUCAAACUCUUCUUCAGCAACUUCUUCUAACGCUUCUCCCUCGUUUUCAGCCAUGCUGAAAUGAAAUUAAUUUAGCGACGAAAUAACUGCCGACACAUAACUGAAAAUUAAAUGUAUUUUACGUCGAUAA